GACAUCACGUCUCAGUUGAAAAAAAAGAAACAUCACAUCCCGACUCCACCCCUCCCCAGCCGCCACAGAACUCCUCCCUGUUCCCAUCGCCGUCGCCCCGUCGUGAGGAACCAACCUCCCGAAGCAUCCGGAGCGGCAAGCGCUGGAAGAAUGAAGAGAUGGCGUCUGCGGCGACGACGAAGGAGAUGGGGCGGACGUCCUACAUCUGGAUCAAGCGCGAGGAGGAGCGGCGUGAGGCUUCCUGGAAGGAGCCCGAGGGCCGGGUCUUCUCCUUGGCGAGCCCUGCGACCAGAUCCUCGCCGGUCGUGCCUCCUUCGCCGACCUCACCGCACAGCAGUCCGGCUCCUGGGGAGUGAAACGAACUCCAGUUCACGCUCUGUUUUGGUGGAUCUCACGACGCUCAGGAGGUGUUCGACGAAAUGCAAAGCCAGAGAAAAACUAGAGAUGAGACACAAGUUCAGUUUUCUCUUCAGGCAAGGAAUGCCUUUCUCUCUUUUGCUCUGGCCAGCAACAUGGCCGGCUCCCUCUCUUUUGUGUGCAGUUACACAAACACACACAUGUAUGGCCUGCAGACAUGCUCAGACAUCCUCAGCACACAUAGACGUCGCUACAGUGCAGGGACACACACAACAGCCUACUGUCAACUCCGCAUGCUACUACACACGAGCAUGGUCUAUACACUGUCUAGAUUGCAACAAGGAUUACAUUAACAGUUUGAACCGGGCUUGAUUUUUUUGGUUAAGAUUCAAUGAUGGUUUGGUGUUACUCUAUUUUUACUAUUGUUUCCUUAUCAAUAUUUCACUGCUGUGGUAGUGAAACAUUUAUCUAUUACGUACUUUUUCGUUGACAGACGAAUGUGCUGUUUGAACUGUUUUCCCUAGAUGAAGGAAGUACAGUUUGCAUGUACUAAUUUUUUACUGUUAGUUUCAGAUUAUCCCCUUUCCUGUGUGCAUUUACUAGAUGCUUAAAUUAAUAUAUGGAUCGUCUUCGGUCCAGCAAGAUCUAUUUAGCAAAUUAAAAUUUCUCAUCCAGUGUUCAGUUAUUUUCUCAACUUAUUUGCUGCUCAUGUAUGUGUUAACCUGUACUGAGAUUGUUUAUUAUAUAUAUGUCUAUGUCCUGCUUCUGUAAUGUGAUGCAUCUAUUUAGGGAAGUCAUUCUAGGUAACACACCUGACUUGGAUCAGCUCAAAAUUGCUAUUAUGAAUAUAAUUUAUUUCACAUAGAUAAUGAGCUAUUUCAUGCAGUUCUUGUCCCUGGAGACUUCUCAAGUGCAACUUACGAGUAUCUUGAACCAUCAACACCGCCUCCAGCUGACACCACCCUAGGCUCUGGGGAGUACACCGGGUCGCCGACAGCUGCUUAGGUGAUGGCAGCGGGCGGGGCUGGUGUUCUUCUUGGCGCACGUGCGUUACCUCUCCAAGAUCCAUGAGCUUGGUGAUAGGUUGCUCAUCCUAUGAUGCUCGCUUGCUCACCCUGCUCGGUGCAAGAAAUUCAGGAAGUUGGGCAAAGUAGGGUCGUUCUGGAGGCCAUCACUGUUGCGCAUCGCCGACCGGGCCAAAAUCUUGUCAGAUUAUGCGUGGACGCUAGCAACCUCGAAGCAUGCUACCAUCUUGGAAAUUAUCUGAUCGUAUUUCUGGGGAGCCGGGAGGUAGGAGCAACGCUGAUGAUGACCGUGACGGUGGGUGACACCGCCGGGAGGCAAUGCACUCCCUGUGUGUCGUUCAAUUCAUUGGCAUUGGUGCCACCAAGGACGAUCACAACAAAUGAUAUUUUUCCUUUGAUUUUCUUUCUGACGGUGGUGGAUUGGUUGCUCCUUGGUGCGUGGAUUUUUAAAUGUAGGCUGCUGGUGAGGAAACAAAGUUGGUGAAAAUAUCAAA